GCUUUUUGUUUAAACGGUAAAUUUUCGUGACUCGAUGGUCUUCUGAUGUUUUGCUGUAACUUUACUGAAUUAUAUUUAUUGUACAGUUUUUAUACCCAAACACAUUAUGGUGUACACCUGUAGUGUGAAUUUGUGUACAAAUCGGUCAAAACCAGGCCCUCGAAAACUACACUUUUUCUCGUUUCCACUGAAAAAUGCAGAAUGAACGUAACAAUGGAUUAAUGCAGUUGGCCACAAAGGGUUUAUCCCGACCAAAUAUAGCAAACAAUGGUUAUUCUUUUUCUGGAAACCGUCGAUGAAGGCAACCUGCCGCGAUGAUGUAUUUUUAGUAAAGGUGGCUGUUAUUAACUGACCAUAGAUCGUCGGUAACAAAUGAACAUGCAAGCCAACUAAUUUUUCUAUCCGCGAAUAAAGAUUAUAUAGCAAAACCAGCAUUUUAAAUAUGUAUAAUAUUAAUUUUAGAUUUAAGUCAAGACUCAAAACUGAAUUUUAAGGUAAACAGUUAU